rnacentral:rRNA from 1 species
AGAGUUUGAUCAUGGCUCAGAACGAACGCUGGCGGCGUGCCUAAUACAUGCAAGUCGAGCGAGAAAGUCUUCGGAUGAGUACAGCGGCGCACGGGUGAGUAACGCGUAGGUGACCUGCCUUCUAGUGGGGAAUAACAUCGGGAAACCGAUGCUAAUACCGCAUAUUUUGAAUGUAAUUGAAACGCAUUCAACAAAGAUGACCUCUACUUGUAAGUUAUCGCUAGAUGAAGGGCCUGCGUGCCAUUAGCUUGUUGGUGGGGUAAAGGCUUACCAAGGCAUUGAUGGCUAUCCGGUCUGAGAGGAUGAUCGGACACACUGGAACUGAGACACGGUCCAGACUCCUACGGGAGGCAGCAGUAGGGAAUAUUGCGCAAUGGGGGAAACCCUGACGCAGCAACGCCGCGUGAGUGAGGAAGGUCUUAGGAUCGUAAAACUCUGUUCUUAGGGAAAAAUUGUUUGGGAGGUAAUAUUUCCCAAAUUUGAUGGUACCUAAGGAGAAAGGACCGGCUAACUUCGUGCCAGCAGCCGCGGUAAUACGAAGGGUCCAAGCGUUGUUCGGAAUUAUUGGGCGUAAAGCGCGCGCAGGCGGAUCUACAAGUCAGAUGUGAAAUCUCGGGGCUCAACCUCGAAACUGCGUCUGAAACUGUAAAUCUAGAAUAUCGGAGGGGGUAGGGGAAUUUCACGUGUAGGGGUAAAAUCCGUAGAGAUGUGAAGGAACACCGGUGGCGAAGGCGCCUACCUGGACGAUUAUUGACGCUGAGGCGCGAAAGCGUGGGGAGCAAACAGGAUUAGAUACCCUAGUAGUCC